rnacentral:rRNA from 1 species
CAGCCGCCGCGGGAAAACGUAGGUGGCAAGCGUUGUCCGGAAUUAUUGGGCGUAAAGCGAGCGCAGGCGGUUAGAUAAGUCUGAAGUUAAAGGCUGUGGCUUAACCAUAGUACGCUUUGGAAACUGUUCAACCUGAGUGCAAGAGGGGAGAGUGGAAUUCCAUGUGUAGCGGUGAAAUGCGUAGAUAUAUGGAGGAACACCGGUGGCGAAAGCGGCUCUCUGGCUUGUAACUGACGCUGAGGCUCGAAAGCGUGGGGAGCAAACAGGAUUAGAUACCCGCGUAGUCCCUGUCUCUUAUACA